rnacentral:lncRNA from 1 species
ACUUACCUAGUCAUGUCACGUCCCAAAUUACCCCCUAGACGUGACUGAGACCCAACUAACAUCACCUGCCAGACGAACCAUACUUUUAUACCUUAACCAUUAAUUUGCAAUAUUUGGUUAAUUAUGAGUAUCCAAAUAAUUUGAUAAUUAAUUAUGAACAAUUAGUAUCUCAAAAUAUUAAACUUAAAACUCUACCCCAAAUUUCUACACUAGACAAUGGAGCAUCUAAAAGAAUUACAAAAGACAUCAUAUGGAUAAAUGAUAAAGACUCUUUUGGCAGCCUCCACGAACAAUGCGGCGGCUCACCUCAAUAACCGAAUCAACUCUAGCGAACUCGUCAGCUAUUAGCUCCGUCUUCACCAAUAGUAUCUGCAUAAACAUGCAGGUAAGGAGUGAGUUAUAUGUAAAUAUAAUACAGUAAGAUCCUCGACCCUCCACUCUGAAUACCUCUGGAACAAGUGUUAGAAAAUACAAAUACACCACAACAAGAACGAUAUAAUAAAUACGAUAAUUAUAUAAUAACGCAAUACAUAUUUAUCAACUGAGUUAAUAAGAAUUAACCAACAAGAGUACACAUAUCUUAACACAAUAUACACUAAGGACUUGUCAUGACUGCAGUGAAAGAACUUAAAUAACGCCUUUACGAGUCCACAAUGGCACCACAAUGCCUCAAAUGUGUAACAGAGCAUAUACAAUGCUCACUGAAGCAUACACAAUGCCCCAAAUAUAAAUAUCAAGAAGCAUACACAAUGCUCGGGUGAUGUAGAAAGGCAUACACAAUGCCCCAACAUCAUGGCGCACAACCGUAUCAAACUCAACACCAUGGCUCACAGCCGUAUCAAACUAUCAAACUCAACAUCAUGGCGCACAGCCGUAUCAAACUCAACAACAUCUCACAGCCGUAUCAAACUAUCAAACUCAAAGUGUCAUGGCGCACAGCCGUAUCAAACUCAACAACAUGGCUCACAACCGUAUCAAACUAUCAAACUCAAUAUCAUGGCGCACAGCCGUAUCAAAUUCAACACCAUGGCUCACAGCCGUAUCAAAGUAUCAUGCUCAACAUCAUGGCUCACAGCUGUAUCACGCCAUCAAACAACUUAUAAAAUAAUUUUUUAUUUUUUUAUUUUUUUACUUUUCAUAAAAAUAAUAUAUUUGCGGCUAGUCUAAGACCACCGAUUCCGCCAAGCGCACGCUUGUUCCAACACAUGAACCAGGCAGAGAAAAAUACAUUUUCAAAACGGAUUUUAGAAAAGCAAGUAUCAAAACUUAAAGUCUCACUUACCUCGCUAACGGGGGUUUUCCAACCUUGCGACUUUUAGAACACCAAUCAAACGGCCUCCAAUGACCUCAAUCCAUACGAAAUAUUAAUUAACAAUGUCAAUUAUGCUAGACAGGGUUAUCUCAUAAUCCUUAUACAGAACCUAGCUAAUAAUCGAUACGCUAACGAUUCAACCGAUCCCUCAAUCACUCACAUAUGUAAAACUCAUUAAACUUAAAAGGUUUCUAACUGGACUUUUUAUGUCUCAUCAAUACACAUGUAGCUAUAAGUGAGUUGAAAGAUUCCAAGUCUAACUACAUGCAUACGCAAUAGACUAAUUUAACACCAAGUGUAGAUCCCACGAAGUCUCUGUGCACAAUAUUUAAUUCUAAUAUGCAAUGUUAUAGAGUCUUGUGAAUAAUAGUAAGUUUUUCAUUAUUACCCAAUAAUUACUCAUUCACAUGUCUCUUAAAUUAUAAUAGCAGAAGCCGAAACUGUUUACCAGUAAAGGAAACGGUUUUCCAUAGCAUUGUACACCCAAACCUUAUAUUUAAUUUAAUUCCUCAAUCACUACAUUAUCAUUACCAUCCCAUAAUUAUAUAGUUAGUAUGUAUAUUACUUAUGGCAUAACCAUUAUUCCUAUAUCUUCUACUGCCAUAGUUACUAAUUGACCACAAUCAAUUGAAAAGGCAUAUACUAAAAUUUUGUAAUACCUGAGCAAAACCAAGAGUCCCUAGUUUGUUUUCUUUGCCUUCUUUUCUUAGCUUUUUCCUUUAUCAAAAUCAGACAUCCUCUUCCGGCAAUUAUCCUCUAUGUGUGCUUUAGUCUCUUAAAGAACUAAGACCUUAUUUCUCUUAUUU